rnacentral:tRNA from 1 species
GGCCCUGUGGCUAAGCGUUAAAGCGCCCGGCUUCUGAACCUGAUGUCCCGGGUUCGAAUCCUGGUAAAGACU